AGCUUUGCGCAGUGGCAGAAUCGUAGCCAAUGAGGUUUAUCCGAGGCGCGAUUAUUGCUAAUUAAAAACUAAAUAAAUAAAAAUAAAAAUGAUGAAUAUUCUUCUUUUACAUCUAUUUCUCCCAAUUUCUAAAUAU